AACAGAUCCCUGGCUUCAGACUUAUUGUCAUGGAUGCUGCCAUUUGUAGAUCACUGCCCUUGGUCACUGGUUCUGACUGGAGGGUCUGAAGCUGGCAUCUGCUGGCCAUUGCUUUGUCCUGUAACACAUAGGUUUUUAGCAAUCUAUGUAACAGAUACAGCUGCACCACAAGCUAGGAGAUAAAACAGCUGAAGUUUCUGGUAGGGUAAGUGAUCACCCAGAAUUCUUGAAAGAUACAUAUUUCACAAAAGACUUAAGGAAUAACAGUCAUUUCAGAAGAUCCUUUCAUAGGUGCAGAGGAGGAAAGAAUAAAGCUUGGAAAAGAAGUAAAAGUUUGGACUGUUAGACAGAUUUAACACAGUAAGCUCAGGAAAUUUUUGAAGGUGAAAUCAGCUGAGGUGUUUAGAUAGAAGAGCCUGGAUGAGGCCUCUGGAGGUAUUGGUUACAGAGUUGUCUUCAUGAACACUCCUUGCAUCUGGUAAAAGUUGUUUGUUGUUUGUUUGCUCGUUUUCCUAAGGUGUUUCUAAGAACACUUUAAUGAUUUUUGGAGCAUGAUUUGUUGUAGAGCCCUCCUCUGUAUUUGGAUUUUGUCUAAUGAGGCUGACAGUGAAAGAGAUGAAGUUCAAUUUAUUUGACAACGGCUAUAUAUACUAACAUAUUUGUUAGUAUAUUUUCUCCAGAUUUACUAAUGCUUUUAGUAAUUAGAUUGUUACAUUAUUUAUUGAUGUGUCUAUAUAUUUUCUAUGUUGAUUCUUUUCAGACAAAGCAAGGAUACUUGAUAUUUUUUUGCUGACUUUUUCUUAUUUAUAACACCAAUGCAUGUUUUUAUGUUGAUCCCAAAGUAACUAAUAAAUUGAAAGCAGAAAGCAGUUUUCUACAUAAAAAUACUAAAGAUGUUCAAAAAGAUUUUAAAUUUUCUUCUGUACAUCUGCAUGUAUAUAUUUCCAUAUAUUAGUAAAGGAUCCACUGCAAUAUCCACACAUAAUAUACAGAAUUAAAUUUCUAAACUAAACACCUUUUUUUGGCAUUUUGCAAUUCACUCUUUGUGCUAUCUCUAAUCUUUACCGUUCUGGUAAAUCAUAUAAGGUGUUUUUUUUUUUUUUUUUUUUAAUUUAAGGUUCACUCAAGAAAAAUGUGUGUAGCAUAUGAUUAGUUAUGUGGAGCAAAACUGAAAUUUAAAUACGUGCAUGUGCACCUUAUUUUUUAAAAUCAGAAUUGAUUAUAUAUU
rnacentral:lncRNA from 7 species